GUCCAGACUCCUACGGGAGGCAGCAGUGGGGAAUAUUGCACAAUGGGGGAAACCCUGAUGCAGCGACGCCGCGUGAGCGAUGAAGUAUUUCGGUAUGUAAAGCUCUAUCAGCAGGGAAGAAGAUGACGGUACCUGACUAAGAAGCCCCGGCUAACUACGUGCCAGCAGCCGCGGUAAUACGUAGGGGGCAAGCGUUAUCCGGAUUUACUGGGUGUAAAGGGAGCGUAGACGGCGAUGCAAGCCAGAUGUGAAAGCCCGGGGCUCAACCCCGGGACUGCAUUUGGAACUGUGUGGCUGGAGUGUCGGAGAGGCAGGCGGAAUUCCUAGUGUAGCGGUGAAAUGCGUAGAUAUUAGGAGGAACACCAGUGGCGAAGGCGGCCUGCUGGACGAUGACUGACGUUGAGGCUCGAAAGCGUGGGGAGCAAACAGGAUUAGAUACCCUCGUACA
rnacentral:rRNA from 1 species